AGACACAUGGAAGGCAGCUGUGUAGGUGAACACUGCAGCUCACACCUGCCCUGUGUCCUCCGUGGGUGACAUCCAGCUGUCCACACCUUAAGCCCUGAUGUCUGAGGGUUCUCUAGAUGUCUGGGGACGGUUCCUAUCCAGCCUGUGCCCCUGUGCUCUGGUGAAUUUCCCAUCCUCCCUUGUGGCGAGAAUGAAGUCAUGUGACAAGCAAAGCACCCCACUGGAACGCUAACCUAGCUUCUUCAGCCUCUGAUGUGGACUGAAGACCAACAACCCUCCAGAAAACAUCCAGCCUGCUGACACCAGACUAGGGCUACUGAGACCUCCAGGCCCUGGGUACCGCUUCCCAGAGAGCCCAACAUGCAGGCAGUUGUUGGGCAACAGGGCUGUACCAUUCCAUAUCCUGAGUUCUACACCCCCAUAUUCAACCAGCUAUGGCUGCAGUCAGCAGCACACCUCGAUCACAAACUGGCAUCUCCCGCCAGCGCCUGACAAACAGGAGAUCAGUGCUGGUUCCCCGAGGCUCGCAGCACCUAGAGAAACCUGAAGUUUUCCAGACCACCCCGCUGUCAUGGCAACAGCAAGAGAAACAAACAAAGCUCACAUCAAGCGACUGAACACAAAGCCAUACCAUUAUUUUAAUAAUCGGCAAUGGCCACGCGGGGCUGAGAGCAGCAGGCUUUCAGGGCACUGCUGCCAACGUGUCUCUCUCUUGAGAUGUCUUGAAGUGCUCACCGACACGUGUGGGCCUUGGCACUCAGAUCAUGCCUCCAGCUUGGAGUCCCCUCUUGUGUAGACCCUUUCUGCCUACAGUGGUCACCAACUCGUGGCUUGGGAAGCCAGGUGGCCAGAUGGUUAGAGGCUCCAGCCUCAGGCCAAGCAGCCCUGGGUGCAAAUCCAAACCCUGCACCUUCCAAGCUGGUGAUGGAAGAAAUGGCAGUACUGGUACAAUUACAUCUCCCUGCUG
ensembl:lincRNA 1700034G24Rik RIKEN cDNA 1700034G24 gene